AUCCAGGGGGCGUGAUUGGAUCCACCUCUAGGGGGUGGAUAUUGGUGAGUUUAGGGGUGGAGCUCUGGGAGAUGGGUGGGUUUAGGAAUCAGGGGGUGGAGAUUGGUAGGUUUAGGGGUGGAGCUCUGGGAGAUGAGUAAGUUUAGGGGUGGAGCUCUGGGAGAUGGGUGGGUUUAGGGGUGGAGCUCUGGGAGAUGGGUGGGUUUAGGGGUGGAGCUCUGGGAGAUGAGUAAGUUUAGGGGUGGAGCUCUGGGAGAUGGGUGGGUUUAGGAAUCAGGGGGUGGAGAUUGGUAUGUUUAGGGGUGGACCUCUGGGA